rnacentral:rRNA from 1 species
AUUGAACGCUGGCGGGAUGCUUUACACAUGCAAGUCGAACGGCAGCACGGACUUCGGUCUGGUGGCGAGUGGCGAACGGGUGAGUAAUGUAUCGGAACGUGCCCAGUCGUGGGGGAUAACGUAGUGAAAAUUACGCUAAUACCGCAUACGAUCUAUGGAUGAAAGCGGGGGAUCGCAAGACCUCGCGCGAUUGGAGCGGCCGAUAUCAGAUUAGGUAGUUGGUGGGGUAAAGGCUCACCAAGCCAACGAUCUGUAGCUGGUCUGAGAGGACGACCAGCCACACUGGAACUGGGACACGGUCCAGACUCCUACGGGAGGCAGCAGUGGGGAAUUUUGGACAAUGGGCGAAAGCCUGAUUCAGCCAUUCCGCGUGCAGGAUGAAGGCCCUCGGGUUGUAAACUGCUUUCGUACAGAACGAAAAGGUUUCUACUAAUACUAGGAGCUCAUGACGGUACUGUAAGAAUAAGCACCGGCUAACUACGUGCCAGCCGCCGCAGUAA